UACAGAGGGUGCAAGCGUUAAUCGGAAUUACUGGGCGUAAAGCGUGCGUAGACGGUUAUGUAAGUCGGGUGUGAAAGCCCCGGGCUCAACCUGGGAAUGCCAUUCGAGACUGCAUAGCUAGGGUGCGGAAGAGGGAAGCGGAAUUUCCGGUGUAGCGGUGAAAUGCGUAGAUAUCAGGAGGAACACCAGCGGCGAAGGCGGCGCUCUGGGCCGGUACUGACACUGAGGAGCGAAAGCGUGGGUAGCAAACAGG
rnacentral:rRNA from 1 species